rnacentral:lncRNA from 1 species
GCCAUUGGAGCUGACCCAUUCUGAUAUAUGUGGUCCAAUAAACCCAAUGUCAAAUGGAAAAAAGAAAUACUUUAUUUCUUUUAUUGAUGAUUAUUGUAAAAAACAUGGAUUUACUUUUUGCAGGAAAAAUCUGAAGCUUUCACAGCUUUUAAAAACUUCAAAGCCCAGGUAGAGAAUAAAGUUGGAAGAACUAUUAAAACUCUCCGAACUGAUCGUGGGGAAGAAUACAUGUUACAAGAAUUUGUAAUUUUUUGUGAUGAGCAUGGAAUUCAAAGGCAAUUGAUAGCAGCUUGCACGCCUCAACAAAAUGGGGUAGCAGAGAGAAAGAACCAAACUAUUCUAAACAUGGUGAGAAGCAUGGCAGCAAACGAGAGGAUUCCAUAGAGUUUUUGGCCAGAAGCAGUAAGUUCGAGUGCUCAUGUUUUGAAUCGGAGUCCUACCUUUUCUAUUGAAAACAUGACUUCAGAAGAAGCUUGGAGUGGGCGAAAACCAUCUGUUGAUCAUUUCAAGGUUUUCGGGUGCAUUGCAUAUGCACAUGUUCCGGACAAAAAGAUGAAGAAGUUAGCUGAUAAAGGCGAAAAGUGUGUCUUCCUUAGCAUUAGUAAACAGUCAAAAGCCUACAAAUUGUUCAAUCCAAUCACAGGGGAGAUUAUCAUCAGUCGUGAUGUUGUGUUUGAUGAAGAAAAUACAUGGAAUUGGAUUGAAGAAGAUGCAGGGCAGCACCAAAUACCUGUGAAUUUUGAAGAGAAAGAAGCAGAAAUACCGGGGCAAUCUACCUUCCUAAUAUUCCUUCAUUGACACGACAAGACCAGCACCUACUCCAACCAAAUCAGCACUUGCAGCAGUCGGAUCAGCACCUAUAGUAGCCAAUUGAUGUCAACAAAACUCAGGCAACAAGUGAAAGCUCUUGAUCUCAACGAAUAAAAAAGAGGCCUGCUUGGAUGGUGGAUUUUGAGGUUAGUGGUAAUCAAUCUGAUGAUAUUUUUGCUCAUUAUGCUUUAUUAUCAAAUUGUGAUCCUAUAACAUUCUAAGAAGCUGUUAAAGAUUCGAAAUGGCAAAAGAUUAUGAAUGAGGAGAUCAAGUCUAUAGAGAAAAACAACACAUGGGAAAUAUCAGAACUUCUGGAAGGACAAAAGUCUAUUGGUGUUAAAUGGUGUACAAAACUAAGUUGAACAAAGAUGGCAAAGUUGACAAGUAUAAAGCAUGGCUUGUUGCAAAGGGAUAUAAGCAAGAAUUUGGCUUUGAUUACAAGAAGGUUUUUGCUCCAGUUACAAGGCAUGAUAUAAUUCGAAUGAUGGUAGCACUAGGAGCACAAAAUUCUUGGCUAGUGUUUCGGUUGGAUGUAAAAUCAGCCUUUUUACAUGGAAAUCUAGAUGAGAAGGUUUAUAGAUUAGCCCCCUAGUUAUCUGCAACGAGGAAAUGAAGAUAAAGUGUAUAGGUUGAAAAAAGCUUUAUACGGGUUGAAACAAGCACCUAGAGGUUGGUAUAGCCGUAUAAAGACUUAUCUUACUAAGGCUGGGUUCGAAAAAUGUCCAUACGAGCUACUCUCUUUAUUAUAUUGGGAUCUGCAGGAAAAUGUCUUAUUAUUUGUUUGUAUGUAGAUGAUUUGAUCUACACAGGAAAUGAUCAAGUAAUGUUCGAAGAUUUUAAAAGAUCCAUGAUGACGGAGUUUGAGAUGACCGAUCUAGGAAUGAUGCACUAUUUUCUUGGUAUCAAAGUGGUGCAAUCUACAACUGGAAUUUUCAUUACUCAAAAGAAAUAUGCUUCAGAGAUCUUGGAUAGGCUUCAAAUGAUGGAUUACAACUCGGUUGGAACACCAAUUGAACUUGGUUUGAAGCUCACAAAGGACAUUGAAGAAAAGAAGGUCAAUAGUAUAUUAUAUAAACAACUUAUUGGGAGUUUGAUGUACUUAACAUCAACUAGACCAGACAGUGAUUAUGCAGGAGAUUUAGAGGGUAAAAGAAGUACAUCAUGUCAUGUAUUUAUGAUAAGUUCAGGGGCUGUAUCUUGGUCAUCAAAAAAGCAACAAGUUGUUACUUUAUCUACAAUUGAAGCAGAGUUUAUAGCCGUAGCUUCUUGUGCGUGUCAAGUUAUUUGAUUGAAAAGAAUACUUGAGUUUUUGCAUUUUUUCCAGCACGGAUCUAUACAGAUUUUUAUUGUGAUAAUAGUUCAAUCAUUAAACUCUCCAAGAAUCCAGUUUCACAUGGGAGGAGCAAGCACACUUCGCGAUCUUACAAAAGGAGUUAUUAAAUUGGUUUAUUGUCGGAGUGAAGACCAAGUUGCAGAUAUUCUAACCAAGCCUCUCAAACUGGUUGCAUUUUUGAAGCUGCGUCAUUUACUUGGAGUUCGUUCGAUUUCUAGUAAAAACCGAUUAUAUAACAUUCAGUUUAAGGGGGUGUGUUAAUGUUUUAUUUUUUUUAGUAAUUAGUAGAAUAAAUCCUUGAAGUCCUAUUCCAUAGGAAAUUGGGUACAUGGUUUACCAUUUCUUUAGGAGAAUCCAUGAGCUUAGGAGUUGUUAGUCAUG